rnacentral:rRNA from 1 species
AUUGCCCUAGUAACGGCGAGUGAAGCGGCAACAGCUCAAAUUUGAAAUCUGGCCUCGGCCCGAGUUGUAAUUUGCAGAGGAAGCUUUAGGCGCGGCACCUUCUGAGUCCCCUGGAACGGGGCGCCAUAGAGGGUGAGAGCCCCGUAUAGUUGGAUGCCUAGCCUGUGUAAAGCUCCUUCGACGAGUCGAGUAGUUUGGGAAUGCUGCUCAAAAUGGGAGGUAAAUUUCUUCUAAAGCUAAAUACCGGCCAGAGACCGAUAGCGCACAAGUAGAGUGAUCGAAAGAUGAAAAGCACUUUGAAAAGAGGGUUAAAUAGCACGUGAAAUUGUUGAAAGGGAAGCGCUUGUGACCAGACUUGCGCCGGGCUGAUCAUCCGGUGUUCUCACCGGUGCACUCUGCCCGGCUCAGGCCAGCAUCGGUUCUCGCGGGGGGAUAAAGGCCCAGGGAACGUAGCUCCUCCGGGAGUGUUAUAGCCCUGGGUGCAAUGCCCUCGCGGGGACCGAGGUUCGCGCAUCUGCAAGGAUGCUGGCGUAAUGGUCACCAGCGACCCGUCUUGAAACACGGACCAAGGAGUCAAGGUUUUGCGCGAGUGUUUGGGUGUAAAACCCGCACGCGUAAUGAAAGUGAACGUAGGUGAGAGCUUCGGCGCAUCAUCGACCGAUCCUGAUGUUUUCGGAUGGAUUUGAGUAGGAGCGUUAAGCCUUGGACCCGAAAGAUGGUGAACUAUGCUUGGAUAGGGUGAAGCCAGAGGAAACUCUGGUGGAGGCUCGCAGCGGUUCUGACGUGCAAAUCGAUCGUCAAAUCUGAGCAUGGGGGCGAAAGACUAAUCGAACCAUCUAGUAGCUGGUUACCGCCGAAGUU